GUGUGGCGUCAUUUCCGGGAUGGGGCCACGUGUCGCCGCCUGGUGGACGGUACCCGUCUUGCACCCACGGAUCUCGCUCGCACACGACGAGUGCGGGUAUCCAAGCACCUUCAAGCAGCAGCUCAAGGCUCUCACCCUCGUUCAGGCUCGCGUACGAGAAUGGUGCAUACCCUCUUCAGCAUGAUGAGGGAGAGGGCGGCCGAGGCGGUGAACAUGAUGGCGAUGAUGGAGAGUAUGACGCCCACGGCGAUGUUCGAUGAAAAUGCUCCGAUCGUGGAGAUCCAUCCACUGGUGAAGACAGGCACACACAAAGACCCCCCCAUGUAGCCUAAACAGACUUUUGGGGUAAGUGCUGUGAGUAGCAUCUAUGAAGGCUGGCAAAGCACAUGAGGGGGUACUCAAUUAAGGCCGAGUCUACCUAUGCAAGGCCGAUGAUAGGAUCAGUUACCCCUUGCCAAUAAUGUAGUCAUAGUCAAGAAUUUAACUUAGGUGGCUGGGAUAGCUAUGGCCAAGUUCGUGUACGUGCUGCUAAUACCAAGCGAGGUGGCAAAGUGGGGAGCACAGAUGAUGCAUCUACCAGUCCUCCCAGUCAGUCUAACCAUAACACCCGGGUCUGUUCCAAUACAUUCUGCCAGCAGCGGUGAGCCUUCCACAUUUCACUUGAAGGCCUAAAAGUGCACCUAUCCUGGCACAAGCACUGUGGUGACAUCACCGCCACUUGGUGAUGAAUGGUGGCUGUUGUUGUUGUGUACCAGUUGCCCCAGCCUGGGAUGCCGACAGCCUGCAGCACGUGCACUACGAACUGAGCGAAGAAUAUGAAGAAGAAGAGGAAGAAGUUGAAGGAGCUGUCACUCCUGCCGAGACAUGGGAGGGGGGCACGAUGGAAUUAAAUAAAUAACAAUAAAACCACAAGAAUGAGAACAACAAGCGCGAGCGCUAACACGAGGCACGCCCACAUCGGUAAUGUCCCCGCGUACAAGACAUGGACAUCGGUGUAUUUUAUUAUUACACUCUACUGAGGAACCAAGCCUCAAGCCCCUUGUUCAGAAGGGUCCUGCCAAGUUAUCACAGUGGGGAGCGAUAUUGCUGCGAUAUGUAAUUCAUCCAAAAUUUAUAAUUUGCAUGGUAAUUUUAAGCAUUGGAAAUGUUUGGCUAAUGCCAAUUACAUUGUAUGUUUUUUUUAGCUAUGGGAAGAAACCGGAGAUCCAGGAGGAAACCUAUGCAGACCAGGGGGAAAAUGUACAAACUCCAUGUGGAAAGGUCCCUGAGCCGGAAAAGUCCCUUCUUGCUAUGAGGGGCAAGUGUUACACCACUGUGUUACACCACUAUGCCGCUACCCUGCCGCACAAAUAAUUAACAGAGUAACCCUGCAUGAUGCUAUUCAAAGCCAUUCAUUUCCUGUUCAAACAAGCAUUGAGGCGGUGCUGAUCUCCUAUUUACAGCCCUGAGACAGUUGUGGAAAUUCCACAUUCCUUUGGUCGGGAGAGUCUAUCCAGUGGACAACCACUGUUGACUUCUCCACUUCGUGGUGCUAAUUAUAUAAUCCCCAGAGGGUUCAUGAGCUGAGUCAACCUCCCAAUCAGGAUUUGAACUCGCAACCUUCCGACUGAAGAACGGCUCCAUCAAUCAAUCUUUAUUUUAUGUGCCAAUAUCGCCAUAAAUAAAGGAAGCAUCAGUGAACAUUACAGCAUAAUGGGAACGGUACAGGGGCAUAGAGCAACAGGAAGGAAAAAAUAAACCUGUCAUGACCUCAUCGGCUAACACCGACUGAGCAAAAUAAAUUGUUACGAUUGUGGGUGGAGAUUUAACUCAA